rnacentral:tRNA from 1 species
AUGGGUAUAGCUCAGUGGUAGAGCACAUGCUUAGCAUGCACAGGGUCCUGGGUUCAGUCCCCAGUACCCCGA